GUUCCAGCACGCCACACAUGCGCAGAACACCCGCAAGAGACACGGACGCAGCAUUGGUUACAUCCACAGGAAAUGUUCUGCUUGUCACUGCAUCUGUCAACCUGCAACCAAAACCAGAGAGUCAGCUGAAUGCUGGAGUUCAUUAGAUAAAAAGUGAUGAAACUGCUCUGGGGCCGAUGCAGAGCCAAAGAUUCAACAGUUUGUUGGGAAAGUCCAUCUGCAGAACAUUCCAUGAGGGGAAACAGGCUUGAACAUUGUACUGCUUUGUUCCAUCCAGCAUCUGCUAGCCUGGGGGCCCAAGAGGCAAGAGUAUACCCACAUGAACAUGCAUUCCUUGGCUCAAGGCAGGGAUGAAUGUGCCACCAGCAGCCUAGAAUUGGGGAAUAUGUUUACAUGAAGCAAACAAGAACACCAAGGAAAUUAAAGCUUUCUACAGUGAGAUCAAAUUAAGAGCUGGUUAUAAUAAAAUCUCACUCACUCAUUCAAGAUGA